rnacentral:rRNA from 1 species
AGAGUUUGAUCCUGGCUCAGGAUGAACGCUAGCUACAGGCUUAACACAUGCAAGUCGAGGGGAAACGAUAUUGGAAGCUUGCUUCCGAUAGGCGUCGACCGGCGCACGGGUGAGUAACGCGUAUCCAACCUGCCCAUCACUUGGGGAUAACCUUGCGAAAGUAAGACUAAUACCCAAUGAUAUCUCUAGAAGACAUCUGAAGGAGAUUAAAGAUUUAUCGGUGAUGGAUGGGGAUGCGUCUGAUUAGCUUGUUGGCGGGGUAACGGCCCACCAAGGCGACGAUCAGUAGGGGUUCUGAGAGGAAGGUCCCCCACAUUGGAACUGAGACACGGUCCAAACUCCUACGGGAGGCAGCAGUGAGGAAUAUUGGUCAAUGGGCGAGAGCCUGAACCAGCCAAGUAGCGUGCAGGAUGACGGCCCUAUGGGUUGUAAACUGCUUUUAUAAGGGAAUAAAGUGAGCCUCGUGAGGCUUUUUGCAUGUACCUUAUGAAUAAGGACCGGCUAAUUCCGUGCCAGCAGCCGCGGUAAUACGGAAGGUCCGGGCGUUAUCCGGAUUUAUUGGGUUUAAAGGGAGCGUAGGCCGGAGAUUAAGCGUGUUGUGAAAUGUAGAUGCUCAACAUCUGCACUGCAGCGCGAACUGGUUUCCUUGAGUACGCACAAAGUGGGCGGAAUUCGUGGUGUAGCGGUGAAAUGCUUAGAUAUCACGAAGAACUCCGAUUGCGAAGGCAGCUCACUGGAGCGCAACUGACGCUGAAGCUCGAAAGUGCGGGUAUCGAACAGGAUUAGAUACCCUGGUAGUCCGCACGGUAAACGAUGGAUGCCCGCUGUUGGUCUGAAUAGGUCAGCGGCCAAGCGAAAGCAUUAAGCAUCCCACCUGGGGAGUACGCCGGCAACGGUGAAACUCAAAGGAAUUGACGG